rnacentral:misc_RNA from 1 species
GUAACAAGGUUUCCGUAGGUGAACCUGCGGAAGGAUCAUUACAGUAUUCUUUUUGCCAGCGCUUAAUUGCGCGGCGAAAAAACCUUACACACAGUGUUUUUUGUUAUUACAAGAACUUUUGCUUUGGUCUGGACUAGAAAUAGUUUGGGCCAGAGGUUUACUGAACUAAACUUCAAUAUUUAUAUUGAAUUGUUAUUUAUUUAAUUGUCAAUUUGUUGAUUAAAUUCAAAAAAUCUUCAAAACUUUCAACAACGGAUCUCUUGGUUCUCGCAUCGAUGAAGAACGCAGCGAAAUGCGAUAAGUAAUAUGAAUUGCAGAUUUUCGUGAAUCAUCGAAUCUUUGAACGCACAUUGCGCCCUCUGGUAUUCCAGAGGGCAUGCCUGUUUGAGCGUCAUUUCUCUCUCAAACCUUCGGGUUUGGUAUUGAGUGAUACUCUUAGUUGAACUAGGCGUUUGCUUGAAAUGUAUUGGCAUGAGUGGUACUGGAUAGUGCUAUAUGACUUUCAAUGUAUUAGGUUUAUCCAACUCGUUGAAUAGUUUAAUGGUAUAUUUCUCGGUAUUCUAGGCUCGGCCUUACAAUAUAACAAACAAGUUUGACCUCAAAUCAGGUAGGAUUACCCGCUGAACUUAAGCAUAUCAAUAA